UACGGAGGGAGCUAGCGUUGUUCGGAAAUACUGGGCGUAAAGCGCACGUAGGCGGCGCCGUAAGUCAGGGGUGAAAUCCCGGGGCCCAACCCCGGAACUGCCCUUGAAACUGCAGUGCUAGAAUCUUGGAGAGGCGAGUGGAAUUCCGAGUGUAGAGGUGAAAUUCGUAGAUAUUCGGAAGAACACCAGUGGCGAAGGCGACUCGCUGGACAAGUAUUGACGCUGAGGUGCGAAAGCGUGGGGAGCAAACAGG
rnacentral:rRNA from 1 species